rnacentral:rRNA from 1 species
UACGAAAGGGGCUAGCGUUGUUCGGAAUUACUGGGCGUAAAGCGCACGGAGGCGGCCUUGUAAGUUGGGGGUGAAAUCCCGGAGCUCAACUCCGGAACUGCCUUCAAGACUGCAAAGCUCGAGGACGCGAGAGGUUAGCGGAAUUCCGAGUGUAGAGGUGAAAUUCGUAGAUAUUCGGAAGAACACUAGUGGAGAAGGCGGCUAACGGGCGCGUUUCUGACGCUGAUGUGCGAAAGCGUGGGGAGCAAACAGG